rnacentral:rRNA from 1 species
CCUACGGGUGGCAGCAGUGAGGAAUAUUGGUCAAUGGGCGAGAGCCUGAACCAGCCAAGUCGCGUGAAGGAUGACGGCCCUACGGGUUGUAAACUUCUUUUGUCAGGGAGUAAAUGAGUCCACGUGUGGGCUUAGCGAGAGUACCUGUAGAAAAAGCACCGGCUAAUUCCUGGCCGGCACCCGCGGUAUUACGGGGGUAGGGAGCUUUACCGGGUUUUUUUGGGUUAAAAGGGUGGGUAAGGGGAAUUUAAGUUCAGCGGUAAAAAUUGGGGGUCCAACCCCGGAGUGCAGUUGAUACUGGUGUUCUUGAGUGGACGAGAGGUAUGCGGAAUGCGUGGUGUAGCGGUGAAAUGCAUAGAUAUCACGAAGAACUCCGAUUGCGAAGGCAGCUUAC